CAGUCGAACGCUUCAGCAAUGAAGAGUGGCAGACGGGUGAGUAACGCGUGGGAACCUUCCCAGUGGUACGGAAUAGCCCAGGGAAACUUGGGGUAAUACCGUAUAAGCCCUUAGGGGGAAAGAUUUAUCGCCAUUGGAUGGGCCCGCGUCGGAUUAGCUUGUUGGUGAGGUAAAAGCUCACCAAGGCGACGAUCCGUAGCUGGUCUGAGAGGAUGAUCAGCCACACUGGGACUGAGACACGGCCCAGACUCCUACGGGAGGCAGCAGUGGGGAAUAUUGGACAAUGGGCGCAAGCCUGAUCCAGCCAUGCCGCGUGAGUGACGAAGGCCUUAGGGUUGUAAAACUCUUUUGGCGGGGACGAUAAUGACGGUACCCGCAGAAUAAGCUCCGGCUAACUUCGUGCCAGCAACCGCGGUAAUACGAAGGGAGCUAGCGUUGUUCGGAAUUACUGGGCGUAAAGCGCACGUAGGCGGACUUGUUAGUCAGGGGUGAAAUCCCGGGGCCCAACCUCGGAACUGCCUUUGAUACUGCAAGUCUGGAGUCCGGAAGAGGUGGGUGGAAUUCCUAGUGUAGAGGUGAAAUUCGUAGAUAUUAGGAAGAACACCGGUGGCGAAGGCG
rnacentral:rRNA from 1 species